rnacentral:sRNA from 1 species
AUCUUUUCCUAAGAGCAGGUAUAGCGCGCCCAUUUUAGUUCUAGCAAAAGUAAACAAAAGGAACAAGUACGUGUUUUUCGUGUCGACAGCAAUGGGAAAGGACUAUUGUGCAAUUAAAGAUUGUCACAAUACUACAGGGACUAUAGGGCGAUUUAACAAAUCUGUUAAAUUGCACCAUUUGCCCAAAAAGCAGUCUUUGAGAAGUGCUUGGAUUCGAGCCAUAAGCAGGUCGAACUACAAAGGUGGACAUCAUACCUAUGUUUGUUCUGACCAUUUUCCGGAUGGUGGAAGUAUGAGGUGCCAACGUUAUUCCUCCCCAAAAGAAGGAGAAAGUCAACAAAAAAUGUACAACAAGAAAUAGCAGAGAAACUAUGACAGAGCCAAGUCCCUCGGACCUUAGCAAUUUUCUGUAGGAGAACAAAGUAGGCCAAUAGCAUCAUUUACCACAUGCAUACUGAAUUAUUAAUGCAAUGCAAAAAUAUUUAUUUUGUUUUAAAGGAUGAUAUUGCUGAAGCUUUAUCAGCUGAUCUGGCAUUAAGUAGAAGUGCUGCAUCAGUUUUGAUCGAUCACCAAUAUUCCAGUCAAUCCUAGGUUCAAGAGACUGAGUCGAACGAUCAAGAAUUGCCAUGCACUAUUUGGACGCAGACUGAGACAAAUAAGAAGGACCAAGCCACCCAUGUUGCCCGACCGGAAAAUGCAGUAGUAGAUAUUCAAAAUUCAGAUGACAGUGUACAAUUUUAUACUGGCCUACCCGAUUUUGAUACAUUUAAAGCGCUUUUUGAAACUUUGUGUGAAUAUGGCAUGGAUGAAAUAGAAUCAGAUCAGCGUAUGAAACUAAGACUUGUAGAUCAAUUUUUGUUGGUUUUAAUGAGGCUUCGAUUGGGGCUACUUGUUAAAGAUCUUGCAUAUAGGUUCAAGUUAUCUAGUUCAUCAGUAUCUAGGAUAUUCUUUAGAUGGAUUAUCUUCAUGAGACAGUGUUUGUCCUCUAUUGUAUUUUUACCCGAACUAAAGAUAUUGCAGCAGAGAAUUCCAAGUUGUUUCCUUAACUUUUCUGACACACGCAUUGUAUUAGAUUGCACAGAAAUAUUCAUACAAACACCAUCUUCAUUAGAAAAUAAGUCUCAGGCUUUCUCCAACUACAAAUCUCAUAAUACAUUUAAGUCAUUGAUUGGAAUCUCUAUGACUGGAGCUGUUUGUUUAGUUUCCAAACUGUGGGGUGGUUCAACAUCUGAUGUGCAUAUUACUAGAAAUUGUGGUCUGUUAGAAGCUUUACAGCCAGGUGAUGCAGUAAUGGUUGAUAAAGGAUUUGUUCACUUAAAAGCUGAUUUCGAAAGAAAGUGUGUAAAGUUGCAUUGUCCCCCGUUUAAAACAAAGAGUCAGUUCACAAAAAAGGAAGUUGAAAUUACUAGACGCAUUGCCUCAGCCAGGAUCCAUGUUGAAAGAAAGAUGGAACAAAUUAAAAUUUUUAGAAUAUUGCAAGGCAUUAUGCCACUGGCACUUGCUCCUAUUGCAAAUGACAUAUUUUUUGUAUGUGCAGCCCUUACCAAUGUUUUACCACCACUUGUCAGUCAAUGAAUAAUCAUAUGUUAAAAGUAUUUGUGUGGAUAACUCAUACAAUAAUAAUUCUUAAUUGUAUUUUUGGUGAAAUCAUUUUCAUUGAAGAAUUUGGUGAAAGCAUAUUGAAAUAUAUAUAUUUCAUGAAAAGAACAUGGAAUCAUCAAAUUUUACUAUACUGUUGUUUAGUAUGCAUAUAUCAUACACACACGCAUUGGGUUAUUUUCAAUUAUGUAUAAUAUAUUCUGUUGGCUUCAUAAUAUAAUACUGCAGUUAUGUACAUUGUACUUGUAGAUUUACUAUUAUCAAAUUUUACACAGUACAUUAAAUCUAUAACUGUUGAAUAACUAAAAAACAAACAUUAGUU